UGCCCCUCACUUGCCAAUACGUCUAGAUCAGCCAGGGCGUCGGCAUGUGUAGCGUAUUAAGUUGGGUCUCUCUCGAGAUAAGGAUACGAUGUCCCUUUAUCGGUUGGUUUCCUKUCAGCGCGGCCCGUUYGUUUUUUUGUUACUUUCGCAUCGUUCGGUGCAUUYUGGGGGCUGUGUUGGCUUUUGGUGGCUUGCUUGGCCUWUUGGCUUUGCUUGUUGCUACUUGUCGGGCGGCCUUCGGGAAUGUCGACCGUGGAGGUGCAUGAGUGGUGUUUGGUUUGUUACGUGUGGAUGGCUGUUUGCUUGUGCAACAACGUUCACGCUGCAUACCUCUUCAGUUUUGCGGCAAGGCUUGGUUUGGCUUGUGCAUAUUGUGGGUUUCCUGUGUUGCAUACCUAGUUGAUGGAAAAGUGUGGGUUUUACGAUUUUCAUUUUCGUCUUGCGUCGUUCUUUCGGCGUGGGAUGAACAAUGAAGCGAUCUUUAUGAUCCAUCGUGCUGUUGCGUUUGCAACAAUGAUGUGGCCUAUGAAGCAUCGUUUGGUCUCUUGUAUACGGAAGCUCAUUUGGGCUUGGGUCUUUAUAAGAUCUUCGUUACGCCCUUGUUAAGCGUUCUCGCUUCUCCUAAACGAUUG
rnacentral:misc_RNA from 1 species